rnacentral:tRNA from 1 species
GGAUUGUAGCUUAGUGGUAAAGCGCUUGUCUUCCAUGUGUGAGGCACUGGGUUCAAUUCUCAACACCA